GAAUUACUGCUUAUUGGUCUCAUCUCAACAUAGGAAUGGUAAGUGUUGAAUCUUACAUAAUAAUGGUGUUUGGUAAAGUUAGUCUGAAUAAAUGAUAAAAUACUUAGAGACAUAGGUAUGACUGUGUGAUUGAGAUGUUAUCUUGGGGUGUUUCAUUGUGCAGCACACAGGGUAAAUGUCUUCUACUAUAACCCCAGGCUUCUGAGUGGAUUCAUUUGGCAGAAAAUGAAAGCAGCCCCUCAUAUGCGCAAUCAUACAUGUAUGCAUGUGUAUAUGUGCUUGUUUCUGUGUACCCUUGUUUUGACUUUAUGCAAUGAUUGUAAAUGAGUAUCACCAUCAUGUAAGUGAUGUUUGGUUCUAGUCUUCCAUGAAGUAAAUAUUAUCUUGCAUGAAACGAGUGAUAGGAAGUGCAUCCAGUUAUACAAAAUCUGCCUCAAUAAAUUCUGACCCACGGAAAAGUAAACAACAACAAUAACAAUGAAGAAUUUAUAAAAAAUUUUAUUUUCUCCAUCAUUUUGAAAUAUUCUGACUAGUGAAAGUAAGGAAUCAAAUACAUAACAUAAAAUGCUGUAUCUAUAAAAAUAUUUUCACAAAACAUUGAUUAAAAUAGUGUUACGCCAUGCACUCACUCAGGAACCUAAGACAAUAGGCCUUCCGCGACGACGACGAUGCUCAGUCAAAUGGAAGCUCACGACAGAAAGCGGGGGGGUGCUGCAAACUCAAGCCAGAAACCUACACAACAACAACAAAAGAGAGAGAGACAGCGGGAGUUGUGUAAUUUAACAAUUUCUAACUUAACAAAAUCAAAACAUUUCAAAACAAAAGCAUUUAACAACAAAGGUUAACAAACAUUUGACAGAUCAUACACAGAGUUCGAAUAACACUCAAAUACAUUUAAACAUAGUACAACCGUUCGAUUUUUCUAAACAAAUUAAUUAACAGUCUCUUAAAGUUUCUUUCUUUUCUUUUCUCUCUCCUCCUCCAACACAUUCUACAGUUCUUUUUCUCUUUCUUUUCUCUACCUUCUAACACAAUGUUCUUUUUCUUAUAACACAGAGAGUUCAUUCUCAAAGAUUAUUUUUUCUCUUUUUUUUUUCUCCACAAAAGCAAUUAACAACAAAUUCAAACAUAAAUAAACAUUACCGCAUGUUCUUCGUCCGCAACACUCAUCACAAAACCCCCACUAUAUCAGUCCAAAUUCAAAAUGUCUCUCUCUGCCCCCUUCACUGCCAUCUUCCUUACUUCCUCUCGCUUGUCAUUUCUCACAUUCACUGCCUGUCUUCUUCGCUUUGCUGUUGCCUCUCACCAUCUCCACCAUCUCCCUUGUCUGCUCCGCUCACGCUUCUGGGUAGCUGUCCCACAUCGACUGACUGUCUCUUCCCAACUGAACUCCUAACACCAAUGCCCAUCGCCUUUUUAAAGGGUGGAAUUUUUAUUUCUUUUAUCUACUCUCCGUGACCAUGUUGGGAUCCAAUGUCACUUCCUUAGCUCAUUAGUUACCGUGGUCGUUGACAGGACAAAGAAGAUUCCAUUGUCCUGAACAGCUGGAGUGCCAGUUCAACUCCAACCAAUGGAACAAGGGGCACAAUGUUUUUCUGUUUAUUCACCUCCGUAACAAUAGCUUUCAUUUCUUAUAGUGAAUAGUUGAUUAUAAUUCUAGAGAUAAUAGAUAAUUUAUUUAAAUUUUGAGUAGUUAUUUAAAGUUUAUUAAUUGGUUUCUAUGAUAAUGUAGAAAAUUAACUGGAUGGGUUAAGCAACACAAUCCACUCCUCAUGACAAACUUAAAUUAGUUGAUCAAUACAGAUAAUAUAUUAUUUAUUGGAAGAAUAUGAAUAAUAUAUUUAGACAAAACUAUAACUAUACAUAUUGAUUCAACAUGAACAAGCAAGUUCUGGGUGUGUCAAAUGACAUUAAUGAGUUCUUUUUGGUUCACUUGUAUAUACAGUUUGAGUACGAACAAUUUCUAAAAUCUCAAAUUUCUAGACUGAAUUGAUAUACUAGAUAAGUGCCUGUUCCACUCACCUGUUUUAGCCUUGACAUUCUGCAUAAAACAGACGUGGCUUUUAAUUCUAAACCGAUGUAACUUUUUAAUACUAAAGGAUGAAAAAUGUAUUCAAACCAUCAACUUUAAGUAAUCUUACACUUGAAAUGAAAAACGUUUUUAAUGAACCAGUUUUCAUUUCGAUCAAAUUUUCUUGAAAAUGAUUCAUCUUAUAUUCUUUAAAUUUGAAAUGUUGACUAAUUAUGCAUUUCUCUUUACCUUCAGUAUUGUGAUAACUUUCACAAGUUUUUUGUAUUCAUAUUUUUACUUUUACAGGACACUUUUAUCUUUUUUGUCUUCCAAAGUCACAGUAAUAUUCAUAGACAUGGUCAAUAUUUUUUUGUAUUGUCUUUCUCUUAGGUACCUAAUCUUAUAUAUUAUACCAUCUAGCUGUCUGUCACAGCAUCUAUUAGAGGAAGGGAAGAAGGGGAGGAGAAAAAGUUAUUGUUGAAAUUCAGUGAGAAAGAGAGUGAGUGUGUGUUUGUGUGUGUGUGCAUGUGUGAAAGAUAGAUGAUAGGUAAAUAGACAGUUAGCUAGAUAGAUAGUGCUGUCACUAUCUUAUUACAUCACCAGAUGGGACACUUUUGCACCAAGGGAUUCACCGCAACUAGUUGUAUAGUUUGCUACCCAUCGUUGUGAGCAAUAAUUUCCCAUGUAUUUUAUUUUCUGUCUCUAUCAUUUGGCACAAUGAAAGGUAAGUCUGGUGAGAUUGUUGAGAUGCUUGAACAGAGUAAUGUAGAUUUGUGUUGCAUCCAAGGUGGAAAGGAAGUUCAGCUAGGUUCCUCACAGAACAUGGCUAUAAGAUUUUCUGGGUAGGGAACAGUGAUGGGGCUGGGGUCAUGGGUAUACUCCCUGCUGAGAGAUGGGUUGAUAACAUAAUCGAGGUAGUUAGAGUCUGUGAUAAAAUACUUAAGCUUAGGCUAGUGCAACAACAAGGAAUAGCAACCAUUAUCUCAGCCAGGGCUACCCGAGGAAAAGAAAUACUGAUUUUAUGAUAUCCUCUUGCAGACUACCUUGUUGAUGAAUGACAGGGACCUUCUCUUCAUGGCUGGCAACUUCAAUGGGCACGUUGGACAACAUCCAGGGAACUCCCAUGGUGUGCAUGAUGGCAAUGGGUUUGGUUCCUGCAAUGAAGAGGAAACCAGGUUGUUGAAGUUCAGUGAUGGAAAUGAUCUUAUGAUCUGUAAUACUAACUUCAGGAAACUUGCCAGUCUUCUGUUCACCUACCAGUCUGGUGGCUACACUAGUCAGAUUGGCUACAUCCUCACCAGGAAACAAGAAAGGUGUCUACUUAUAAAUGCCAAAACUUCCCCAGGUGAAGAAUGCACCUCACAACAUAGGCUAAUUGUUAGCAACUUCAGUAUCAGGGCUAAAUGGUUGCCCUGAAGAUCAGGGCUAAAUGGUUGCCCAAUGUGGAAAAGAAAGGUCUGAAGGUUUAAGGAUCCUCUGAAUGGAUAGACAUUUAGAGACGUAUUACUUGAAGCUUAUGACGAAAAAGAGGAUAUAGCAUCACAUAAUGUGGAGGAAAACUGGAGAUUCCUACAGGACAACCUGUUGACGGCUACUGACCAGAUCUGUGGAUGGUGCAAAGUCCCAUCUUGACCUAAGGUGACAUGGUGGAGGAACAAUGUAGUUGACAGGACCAUUAGGGAAAAGAAUUAGGAAUGGAAGUGUGGUGGUAGCAGGGAACUGUAUCAGAUAGCCAGAAGGGAAGCUAGGAGACAGGUUUACUUAGCUAGAGGGGAAGCAGAUAAGAAGAAAUUUGCCAUUAUUCUGCAUUGUGAGGACCAGAGACUUGAAGUGUUUCAAAUUGCAAGACUGUGUGUGAGAGAAAAUCAUGAUGUCAUUGGAGAGAAAUGUGCCCACAUGGAUGAUGGCUCACUUGCAUUUAAUGAUGCUACAAAGAGAGAGACUUGGAGAUGCCACAAUGAAAGGUUGCUAAAUGAAGAGAAUGAAUGGGAGAAAGAGAGUCUGCCAAAUGUUGACCCACUAGAGGAAACAGCUGUUUGAAUUGAUAGUAUUGAUAAAGCAAUUAAGGGCAUGAAGACAGAAAAAGCCCAGGCCCAUCAAGAAUCACUGCUGAAAUGCUCAAAAUAUCUGGCGGUGUCAGCUAUAGUCUAGUUACCUGUAUAGUUAACCAGAUGAUACAUGAAGGAGUCAUACCCAAUGACUUGUGUAGCUGCACCAUAGUCAAUUGCUACAAAGGUAAAAGUGACACCUGAGAUAGAAAUAAUUACGGAGGUAUCAAAUUGUUGGAUCAGGUGAUGAAAGUCACGGAGAGGGUCAUAGCCCAACUAAUUAGGGAAAGAGUUAGUUUAGAUGAGAAGUAGUUUGGGUUUGUGCCAGUGAGAAGCACCACUGAUGCUAUAUUUCUGGUAAGACAGCUGCAAGAGAAAUACCUAGCUAAAGAUAAACCUUUGUACUUGGCGUUUGUUGACAUGGAGAAAGCUUUUGACAAGGUCCCUGGUUCACUUAUCUAGUGGUCAAUGAGGAAACUAGAGAUAGAUGAGUGGUUGGUGACAGCUGUACAAGCCAUAUACAGAGAUGCUGUAAGCAAGGUGAGGUUUAGCAGCAGGUAGAGUGAAGAGUUCUGGGUAGAAGUAGGACUUCACCAAGGAUCAGUCCUCAGACCUCUCUUGUUCAUCAUAGUCCUCCAUGCAAUAACAGAGGAACUCAAGACUGGCUGCCACUGGGAGCUCAUCUAUGCUGAUGACUUUGCUCUAAUAGCUGAGUCACAACCAGAACUAGAGAAGAAGUUUCAGGCAUGGAAGCAAGGUGUAGAAUUGAAAGACCUUAGAAUUAACCUAGCAAAAAACCAGUCUUAGUAAGUAGGAAGGUGGACAAAUCACAAAUCCCUUCAGGUAGAUGACCCUGCUCAAUCUGCAGAAAAGGUAUAGGCAAAAACUCCAUAAGAUGGACACAUAAGAGGUGCAGUGAUAUUGAAGGAAGGUUAACUGGGAAGAUAGUUUUUGUGUGUAGAAGAUGUACAGGUGCAGUAAACACCAAAAAUGUACAGAAAACUGAUUCCAUCACAUACCAGGGGGAAAAAUUAGAAGUAGUUAAUAGCUUCUGUUACCUGGGUGACCAAGUCAAUAGCGGGGGUUGAUGCUCUGAGAGCGUAGCUACUAGAAUAAGAAUAAGCUGGGCAAAGUUCUGAGAGCUACCUUGGCCAGUAACAAAGAGCCUCUCAUUCAGAGUGAGAGGGAAACUGUGUGAUGCCUGUGCGCAAACAGCUAUGCUACACAGCAGUGAAACAAGGGCUGUGACUGCUGAGGACAUGCAUAGGCUUGAAAGAAAUGAAGCUGGUACGCUCCACUGGAUGUAUAAUGUCAGUAUGCAUGUAUGACAGAGUGUAAGUGCCAUGAUAAAAAAGUUGGACUUAAGAAGCAUCAGGUGUGGAGUGCAAGAGAGAUGACUGCGCUGGUAUGGUCAUGUGUUAUGUAUGGAUGAGGACAGCUGUGUUGAAGAAAUGUCACACCCUAACAGUGGAGGGUACUUGUGGAAGAGAUAGACCCAGGAAGACUUGGGAUGAGGUGAUGAAGCAUGACCUUCAAACGUUGGGCCUCACAGAGGCAAUGACAAGUGACCGAGACCUUUGGAAAUAUGCCAUGCUUGAGAAGGCCCAGCAAGCUAAGUGAGAUCAUAGUCGUGGCCGAUGCCAGUAGCACAUAACUGGCCUGUUUAAAAGCAACCUUCAAUUGUUGGGUGAUACGCUGUGCUUGUGAAGACUUAUUGAACUGAGUGAAAUCAUACAGGUGGCUGAUGCCAUGCCACCUGACAAACACCCAUGAUGGUGACACAUAAAAAGUACCAUUCGAGCAUGGCUGAUGCCAGUGCCACCUGACUGGCACUUGUGCUAGUGGCAUGUAAAAAGAACCCACUAUAUUCUUGGAGUAGUUGGCGUUAGGUAGGGCAUCCAGCUGUAGCUGGAUUUUUAGCUAAAAAUCCCCGAUCUCGGAUACAGAGGUUCCGGAAAAUUGCCAAAAAUCGGCAUUGUGAAAUUUUUUUCCCUAACACUAACCCUAAAAUCCUAACCCUAACCCUAAAACCCUAAAAUCCUAACCCUAAAACUGUAACCCUAACCCUAACUCUAAAACCGUAAGCGUAAGUACAGAAAUGUCUUGAAAUUUUUGUCCAAAUCAGAUUAGAGCCUGGUGCAGCCUCCCAGCUGGCCAGUUCCCAAUCAAACCAUCCAACUCAUGCCAGCAUGGAAAGUGGAUGCUAGAUGACAACAAUGAUGAUGAUGAUGAUGAUAUAUAUAUAUAUAUAUAUAUAUAUAUAGAAAAUAGUAAAAAGUGAAAAAACUACAGAAGGCUUGUUUUAAAAGGUUAAAAAAUAUAUAUUUGAGUCAAUAUGUCUGAAGAAUGUUAUCAAUUUUUUUCAUACAAUGACAUAGUAUAGAAGUAUGUUGAGAAAUAGACCAAAUUUGCCAAUGAGCCAAAUUUGCUCCAGUAAAGGAAAAAUAUGUAACAGCCAUUAUUUUUAACUUGUUUAUAUAUAUAUAUAUAUGUAGGUCCCGGGUUGAGUCGGGGUUAACCACAGUAAAUAAGGUACUCAAUACAUAGCAGAGUAAAGUAAUUUAUUUUAUAGAAGGAGCUUCUACAGGACUAGAACUGUUUCAUUCAUGUGAAAUCUUCAGGAAGCUGGCUGUCAAAAUAAGGUCUGGUAUUUAUACAUUUAGGCAGAUUUAAUGGGGUGGUGGUGGGUGACGUUUUUUGGGAAAGUUGGUAUUUAGGAGAUAAACAGGUCCCCCACCAUUUUCUCCCAAAUUUGUUUAUUUUUGUAACUUUUUUUUUGCUAAAAAUCCCCAUUUUCAGAUAAGGAGGUUCCAGAAAAUUGCCAAAAAUUGGCAUUGUGAAAUUUUUUUCCCCAACACUAACCCUAAAACCCUAAAAUCCUAACCCUAAAACUGUAACCGUAAGUACAGAAAUGUCUUGAAAUUUUUGUCCAAAUCAUGAUGUCCGAAUUUUUCCGCAUAUUUAGAAAAAAAAAAAAAUUCUUAAAAAAAAUUUUACAAAGAUUUUCGGAAAUUGUUUUCAGAAUCAUAAUAUCCGUACAUAUUUUGAAAAAAAAAUGUGAAAAAAGUUAAAAGUGAAGGAAAUGGGCGAGGGGUAAUUUAGAAAUGUUGAUUUUUGCCAAUUUUUUGCAGAUUCGUAUUCCCCGUCUGGGCUUGUGUUGAAAAAAAAAAAAAAUUUAAGGGUGUUUUUUGGGGGGGUGAGGGACAGACGGAAGUCUUGCCUUUUAUUUUAUUUUAUGUGUGUCAUGCAAACAAAUUUCAUUGUUGCAAGUGAAACUUUUACUUUUAAACGCAUUCUGUGUGGACCUGUGACAAUUGAAUGAAAAUACAAUUUUGGUUUAUCUUCAGUGUUGCUGCCAUCGUUAUAAAGCUGAAUAAUCUUCUAGACACGAUAAAUGUUUGUAUUUGUAUGAUUCUUCUGUGUUUGUAUGAUUACAUUACAUAAUACUUAUCAUUUGCAUAUAUUUUUGAGCGCUGUUCAUGCAAAUACCUACCUGCUCUGUGAAAAACAUAUCAGUGAGUGAAGAAUACCUGUUUCUCUAUAUUUCUUUACUACCUAAACACAGAGAGGACAAACAAGGACAGACAAACAGAUUAAGUCGAUUACAUCGACCCCAGUGCGUAACUGGUACUUAAUUUAUCGACCCUGAAAGGAUGAAAGGCAAAGUCGACCUCGGCGGAUUUUGAACUCAGAACGUAACGGCAGACGAAAUACCUAUUUCUUUACUACCCACAAGGGGCUAAACACAGAGGACAAACAGAGUAAGUCGAUUACAUCAACCCCAGUGCGUAACUGGUACUUAAUGUAUCGACCCUGAAAAGAUGAAAGGCAAAGACGACCUUGGCGGAAUUUGAACUCAGAACGUAACGGCAGACGAAAUACGGCUACGCAUUUCGCCCGGCGUGCUAAAGAUUCUGCCAGCUCGCCGCCUUCUGUGAGUGAAGAAUACCUUUUUCAACUGGGAUUCUGUUUGUUCAUUGUACAGGCAUUCUUUAGAUAACCAUACACAAAAAGUGAAGGUAUUUCUUCGGUAAAUUCCGUAAAUUUUUUUUUAUUUCUUUCAUUUGUAUCACUAGUUCAUGUAUUUUUCGUGUAUUUAUUAUGCGUUUAUGCGUGUAUGUAUACAUAUAUGUAUGUGUAUAUGUGCAUAUAUAUAUAUGCGCAGGAGUGGCUGUGUGGUAAGUAGCUUAUGGAAUUUACCAACCACAUGGUUCCGGGUUCAGUCCCACUGCGUGUCAUCUUGGGCAAGUGUCUUCUGCUAUAGCCUUGUGAGUGGAUUUGGUAGACGGAAACUGAAAGAAGCCUGUCGUAUAUAUAUAUGUAUGUGUGUGUUUGUGUGUCUGUGUUUGUCCCCCUAGCAUUGCAUGACAACCAAUGCUGGUGUGUUUACGAACCCGUCACAUGGCGGUUCGGCAAAAGUGGCCGAUAGAAUAAGUACUGGGAUUACAAAGAAUAAGUCUCGUGGUCGAUUUGCUCGACUAAAGGCGGUGCUCUAGCAUGGCCGCAGUUAAAUGACUGAAACAAGUAAAAGAGUAAAGAGUAAUAUAUUUGUUUAUGUAUAUGUAUACACACACAAACAAAGUAUUUACAUUCACGCACACAUGUGCGCACGCGCGCGCGCGAAUACAUAAACAAGCAAUUCAGCUGAAAAAGAAUUUAAGAAAACAUUUUUUUACGUAAGGUGUUGAACAAAUACUUCCAUUUCUCGUGUACAGUUAUCGAAAGAUUGCCUAUUCUACGUAUCUACGACUUUAAAGACGUUAUGGUAGUAUUUUAGGAAGACUUGACUACAAGUUUUUGCGAGUCAAGCGGCUGCCUUGAGGCUUCCUCGCUAUCUUUCCUGAAUUCCAAACGCACUCCACCUUAUCAAAUAUGGCUCGUUAAAAGAAAUCAUUAUAUAGAUCUAAAUGACUGAUUUUCUAAGGAAAAUUCUCAUCGUGACAACAUCCCGUUUCUCCCAUUAUAUUAUUAUAAAAGAUAUUCAUUAUAUGAUAAUUAGUUAUUGACAUUUGAUGUGUGGUUCUUUGCCCUCUUUUACUUUUUCUUUUCACUAGUUUGCGUUAAGGGGGAUAACUCUGAAAGAGUAUUUUUCAGGAACGGACAGAAUUAGUCGAAUUCGUCAUGAUCUGCACAGAAUUAUAGAAAGACCGGAUCUUUUCGGUUUGAACGGCAGAUUUUAACAUAAUUUCUAGGUAACUAAAAAAAUUUAAACUUCGUAUAAGGGUAGAUGUGUUUAUAAAACAUCUUUUUCUCUUGGCUUUAUUGAGAAAAUUCCAUAGUUUGUAAGAUAUUUGUUGUUUUUUUUCUUCAAUUUUUGCAAUUUCAACCAAUCACUGACGUCUAUUGAGGUAAAAAAAAACAUUCUGUGCCGUAUGAAUAUGUCCCUCGUUUAAGAAACAAAUUGGGUUUAUUUACAUUUGUGAAGAAAAAAAGAUACUCUUCCCCUAACCCUAAAACAUUGAAAUGCAAUAGAUCGAUACUAGGGUCAUAAUUAUGGGUGACAAUUUCAUAUGACACCGCUAGAAAAAACUGCCGUUCAAACCGAAAAGAUCCGAAACAUCAUUACCCCUAAUAACAACAACAGUAAAGACGUGACAGAUCAAGGUAGAACGGCAAAUAAUACUUUGCGAAAGGAAGAGAAGUUUAAGUGGGAAGAAAGAGAAAGAUUAUUGCUGUUAUCGCUGUUGUUGUUUUGGAGCAGUCUGAGAAAAUGAAGACAUGAAAUAUGCAAUUUACACGAGAAAGAAGAGAGAAAGAGUGCGUAUGUCUAUGUAUCUGUGUGCGUAUGUAUAAAAGCAGAAAAAGAAAAAAGCAAUACGUCCUCUUAUUUUGUUAUCGUUAUUUUUAAUGUUCGAUUGUUAAUGCUGAACUUUUAAUAUUCGAUUUGACAUAUAUAUAUAUUCGAUUACAGGUUGUGUUAACCACAUGAAGGGAUGGUGUCAUCCAAGGAAAUACUGGUUCAAUAUAAAUAUAUAUCUGUGUGUGUGUGUGUGUGUGUGUGUGUACCGUUGGCGAUUUUUUUCCUCUGUCUUCCCUUCUCUGGAUCUUUCCUUCUCCUAUGUUUCCGACGAAGAGCUGCGCUUUCCUGAGCGUCCAAUAAUACUAUAUUUGUU
rnacentral:lncRNA from 1 species